GUCCUUGCAGGUGCUGCAAGGCGCACGACGAGUGCUACGUGGACGUGGAGAAGAGUUGCGGUUCCCUGUUCGUGUACAUCGGCAGCUAUGGGUACCGCUGUAAGCGUCGCGAGAUCACGUGUACUUCGAAUUCCUCCUGGUUUUGGUCUCAAAACAGCACCAACAAGUGCAAGACGGCGCUCUGUAACUGUGACAAGGUGUUUGCAGAGUGCUGUGCGAGGUACCCGUACAACAGCGAAAACUACGGGAAGUGCGAUAGCAAGUAGGACUUUUGACUAAUAAGACUCUUUUGACACAACCAUUGCUUUAUUCAUGCCAGCGUUUCGGUGACUGUCUGUCACCUUCUUCAGGGCACUUCUGACUGGUUCACAUUGUACUGCAGGACAGGUGUCGCUGCUCACAGGGACAAGGUGACAGACGGUCACCGAAACGUUGGCGAGAAUUUAGCAAUGGUUGUGUAAAAAGAGUCAGUUUAUUCGGUGACGUACAAACCUGAUGAGACUAUUCAUGGAAAUAGGAAUAUUGCCUGUAGCAUGUUGAAUGUGCAGAUUGAAUAUAACUGAAUAAAGAUUGACACAACGUUAUAACCAUCAAUAACCACCAACAUUAAUAACAUCAACGUUAUAACCAUCAAUUGGUUAGCUCGCGUGAGAAGCGUUAUCUGUAGACAGCUGUAAAAGAGGCUGAUCAGUACAACGUAUAAUCUUAUUAGCAAUUUCUAUUUUAUUCCAUUUUAAAACAUUUCAUUAUGUUCAAUUUUAUGUAUGUUUUGUUACUGAUUAUUUCAUUUUAUUGCGUUUAACUUUCUGCAGUUUUGUACAAGUUUUGAAUUUCUUUAAUUGUACUUAAAUUGACUCCAGGAACAAUGCAACAGCUUUACACUAAUGGAGAUCUGAAUAAGACAAACAAAUAAAAAUUUGUUCUAUAUCAGAUGCACUGUUUAUUAUAUUGGUAAUCGGAUACCUUAUGUAGUCCAUUAGUUAACAUACCUUUGUAACGAAGCUAGUCUUUUCAGACAUAAAAGCAGCAAAUAAAACAUUCAAGUUACAUAA